GGCAUUAUGAUGCAUCUUGAAUCACCACCCAAAAGGAAAAAAGUAGAAAAGAAAAGCAGAAAAGACUUUGAUAAAACAACUGGUAAUUUUACCCAUGAUUCAGUGAUAAAAUGUGCACCAACCUCCCCUUUUAUUCUUCUUCUGAAACUCCUACCUCAAACUCCAGAGAAUUUUAGGAUCACUAACAAGCCUCCUUAGAUUUAAACACUGAGGUGUCCUUUAUGAGACCUUUUCCCUAUACAAAGUGGAUCUAGACUAACUAUCAUGUAUGUUCCUCAGUUCCAUCUUCACCAUUACCCAGUACAGUUCCAUCUCCACCAUUACUCAGUACAGUUCCAUCUCCACCAUUACU
rnacentral:misc_RNA from 1 species